GAUGAACGCUGGCGGCGUGCCUAAUACAUGCAAGUCGAGCGAACAGACGAGGAGCUUGCUCCUCUGACGUUAGCGGCGGACGGGUGAGUAACACGUGGAUAACCUACCUAUAAGACUGGGAUAACUUCGGGAAACCGGAGCUAAUACCGGAUAAUAUAUUGAACCGCAUGGUUCAAUAGUGAAAGACGGUUUUGCUGUCACUUAUAGAUGGAUCCGCGCCGCAUUAGCUAGUUGGUAAGGUAACGGCUUACCAAGGCGACGAUGCGUAGCCGACCUGAGAGGGUGAGCGGCCACACUGGAACUGAGACACGGUCCAGACUCCUACGGGAGGCAGCAGUAGGGAAUCUUCCGCAAUGGGCGAAAGCCUGACGGAGCGACGCCGCGUGAGUGAUGAAGGUCUUCGGAUCGUAAAACUCUGUUAUUGGGGAAGAACAAAUGUGUAAGUAACUAUGCACGUCUUGACGGUACCUAGUCAGAAAGCCACGGCUAACUACGUG
rnacentral:rRNA from 1 species